UGUUACUAACAUUUCAUCUCCAAUUGAUUUCUGGCGAUUUAAGCCACCAUUUGAGGCACCGUUUCUUCCUACUUAAGCUACAUUCUCUCCUCUUCAUUUCCCCUCACUCACCACAGACCGAGAGCCUCCAGGCUGCUCGAAUUUGAGCUCGAAAUUCCGCGGUACCAGCGAGUUUCCGGGACGAUUCCGCGACGGCGCCGUCUUCAUCUGCGAGCGCCGUCAGCCCUGAGUAGACGCAGACGCGGACGAGGAACACACCCACCUCUGCGAACACCGUCCGCUACUUCCCGCGCCGCGAAGACCUCUAGAGCAGCGACCUCGCCGACCACCGCAGCCUCAGCUUCGUCCACACCCUCGGUAACGCUCAACCUCAACGUCCUGCCACUGCCGAUCGUAUGGAGUGCAACGGGUGUGAUUGUGAGAAGUGUA